GGAAAGGAAUAGCAGCUCAUCUCAGAAGUCCUCCAAAGCAGUAAAGAGGCUAGAAUUGAUAUAAUCAUUAUCCACCAAGCUCACCAAGUAAUAGCUGCUCUGUAUCUCUUCGAGCAAUUUUCGCGACGGAUCGCCCUCGGGAUACAAGGAAGCCCAUCCCCUUGACCAAAGCUCAAACGCCUCAUCUUUCCACACGAGAAAGCUGGUAGGGUCAACAACGGUUGGCUGGAUGAUCUCUUUGGCUGGGAAAACUCCCCAUGUUACAGCAUUCACAUCCUUUUGAGUGAUGUUGGAUACCCAAAUGCCUUCCUUAU
rnacentral:misc_RNA from 1 species